CCUCCUGCCUCCGCGGUACCGCGCCCCUCGGGCCCACGGCCCAGCCGUGGGACCCAAUCCUGGACCCUCGUUGCCAGCUCCAGCCUGCUCUCAGCGGCUGUCCCCAUCUCGGGACUUCCCCGUGCACCUUGGGCAGGCUUCACCUGCCCCUAAAUUGGACUCCGACACUGUCACCAACUUUCUCUCUGUAGAGCUCUGCGUGUGCCCUCGCCUCCCCCUGCCCUAACUCUCACUCUUUGUACUACUACCUGGAAUUUUCGCUGUCUCUUUCCUCCGACCACUGGCACCAACUCUGUCCUUGUCUCUCUUCUCCUGCUUCCGGCGGCUAAGUGUCAGUUCCAGCUCUCCCUCUGCCUGUGCAGAGACAACCUCGAUGCCCGACUUGUUGGCCAGGCCCUCUCUGGCCCAAUUCCUCCCUCUCUCAUUGCUCUCCCCAUACCUCUAGCGCUUUCCACUUGGGUCUCUUUCCCGAAGACUGUUUCUUUCACUGCCUUGGCUCUCCUGCCUUGGCCAUGCUCCAUCCGGGCAUGGUUGAUUCUAGGGUUAAGGGCUGCCCCUCCUUUCUUAACCCUGACAGACAGACCCAGGUUUCCUUGUUCUUCAAAGAAGCACUGCCCAUCCUGGGUUGAGGACUACAAAGGUCACCAGUGCAUUUUGGGUAGACAGGAGCCUCUUGUAUUCUGGAAAUGUCUACAGGUAAUGGGAAUUUUUAUUCUGUAGGAGCUGAGCCUUUCCUCACUGGCCUGUCCCAAUGGGCCUUCAGCCUCUUAUCCAACCUCAUAUUUCACAAGCUGGGGACCACAGACCCAGACAUGGAAGAGACCUUAGAGGCCAUCUAGACCAUCUAGACCAUCUAGACCCAACUCUAUCAUCUUACAUGUGAAGAAACCAAAGCUCAGGGGAGUGCAGUGAUGGCCAAAGCCUUCUUGAAUAAUUCAGUGAUUCUGAUCAUUGCUCAUUCAGAAAUCAUUCAGUGAUUUUUGUUCAUUUGUCUAAUGCAGAUAGAAAUGGAUCUUUGACCCACAAAAUUCAUCCCCUGCAGUCAACAUGUUGAUGAGAUUCUCCAAAUUUAACAAAGCUUCUUCUCAAAUAGUAGUCCAUCUCUAGGCCUGUGCACAAAGCAAUUCAACUCCUCAACAAACCUGUUUUCCUGAACUUCCAUUCAGCCAACUCAGCCCUCAAGUAUCUAGCAUCACCUCCUUGUCUCCAUAAGGUAGCAAAGUUUGACUUUAGUGCCUAGUAUAAGUAAGGUUUCACUAAAAGGGCCAGGUCUUCUGGCUCCAAACAAAAUUCUUUUUUGCAUGGCACCACGCUAGCCAUGGUGGGUCCUGGUCCUAGUAUUCCCCCUUCCUUCUCUAUUUCAAUAGUCUCUCCCUCACUUUCCCCCCAACUACAUAUUCUGACUCCUUGUAAAAUAAAAGCCAUCUUUGGCUCCCCACUCAGUCCCAGAGUCUGUAGGAUAUUCCCAAGCUACAGGGUUGGUGUUGGGAAGGCCCUCUGAGAGCCCUAUACUCUAUCCUCUGAGGAGUGGGAGAGAAAAACUACACCAUUGUUUUAGGAAAGCCAAGUUACUUGGGUUGGCAAUUGCUAAGUGGGGGUGGGGCAUUCACCUUAGUAGAGAAAAGGUGCUCUCAGGUACCAUCAAGACAUACCCAUCAGCUUACCUCAUUCAUCUCACAAUCCAGGAACAAUGCCCAACGUGGCUCUUGCAGAAGGGAUAGCCCAAUGGGAGAUGGAGGGGGUAGGGUGGGGUCUAAGAAAUUUAAAUGGAAAGGAGUUAUGAUCGAUAGGUUCAGACCCCUUUCUUCUUCCCCUCCUCCUCUAAUCCAUAGGAACCAACAAUGGAGAAUCGUAUUGGGAGGGGUAUUAUGUUGCCAUAAGAAAUAAGGGAUUUGGAUCAUGGCCCUUGAGUAUGACUGCUAUAAUUUUGGGGAAGGAUGAUAACCUUGGUCACCCCUGCCUGGCCCUUUCUCCCUAGUAUAUGGAUUCAAGUUUUCUUCUAGAGUUCUUCUGACAUCCUGUUUACUAGCCUCUCCCCUACCUGUUAGCUUUGAUUCUUCAGAUAAACUGAACUCUGUACCCCUUUAUAAGGGGGAGCCCUGAAACUGAAUGGUUUGGGGCCAGAUGCAAACUCUCAUGUGCCCUCUGCUAUGGUGGCCCAGGGCGAGUGGUAGUUCCUGGUAGGCAGUGCCCAACAGGUUUGGGCAUGAUAGGGAGCAGCUCUAGCCUCCAAAAGUCUAAGGGAAGAAUGAGGAUGACACAGAAUUCCCCAACUCAGGGUGGGGCCCAGCCCCCCCAGGGCAUACCUGCCCCACCUCUCACCUGCUCCCCUCAUUCCCAUCUUGAUCCCCCUUUUGUCUUCAGGGUCUGGAGUUCCAACAGACUCCCUUGUCAUUUCCUCACUCCUCCUUCCCCCAGUACAUGAAUUUUGCAGCUCAGAGCACAAACAGCAAACUUGGACCCUACUUUGUGCCUGGAUAGCCUCCUCCCAGGUAGCAUCUCCACUGGAGGACACUGUACAGCCUGUCUGCCUUCAUCAUUCCCACCCACAGGUGGCUUCUCUGUCCUACCCCCAGCCCACUUCCAGCCAGUAUUUUGGCCAUCACUAGGUAUCACUAGACUUAGUAUAUUGCCUGUCUCCAGGAAGAAUUGAAUAAAUCAAAGGGGACUCCAGCAGUGCACUCCUUGGCCCCAGGGAUCCCCUUGUCUCUCCUUGAGUGUCAGGUCAGAACUCAGACACCACAUUCUCACACACACACACACACACACACACACACACACACACACACACACACACACACACACCCGCCGGGCCCCAUGGCAACGUUGCACACAGAGACAUCAAACAGGCUGGGGUUUAGGAAGUCAGCUUGGUGGACCUACGUCACUGUGGUUAUCGCCACUCUGAGCAGCAGCAGUGGGCCCAUGGCCCAGUCUGAGCACUCCAGCUUGGCCUGCCUGCCCACCCCCACUGCCUUGACAGCCUUGGUUUUCUCCAUGCCAAGGGGCCCAUGCCUGCCUGUUGUCCCGGUAACCAGUCAUGUUAUGGAUCUACUCUGGGAUCCCCAGCCGCUCCCCACAUCCGGGAAAUGCCUGGGCCUAUGCUUCCCCACCCCUGGGCUUGGAAUCUCAGAGUACAAGGAAAAGGGUCUGGCUCAUGCACUGUUCCCCCCUAAGGGGACUAGAGGCACAGGAUAGGGGCAGAGAGCUCCAAAUUUUUCCUGCCUUACCUUGAGGAUUCUUUGGACUAAUAGCUAUUGUUCUAUCUGCCAGUCCAAACUUUAUUGGGUGGAUUGGGACAGAAUUUGGGCCCCUGAAUCAAAUGUAGUAUGGGAACAAACAGGGGGUACUUAAGUCCCAUGGUGUCCCCAUUUGCUACCAACCCAGCUCUGCCCCUAGUGGAUCUUUGGUGCGAUUCUCAGUGGCCAGGCCCAAAGAAUGCCCUGGAAAGGCCAGUGGCUGGGCGUUAACCAAGGGCAGAGAGUGAGUCAAGAAAAAAUAGGGCUCAGUGCCCCCCACCUCUGUCAUGCAUGCACAUCAUACCACCCAUCCGGCCCGGUGCUGAUUCACCACCCAGAAUACUCAUUGACAGAUAGUUGGGGCCCCCAAAGUUGCCAAGGUACCACCACUGCAAUGGGCUGGGGCCAUCAGAAGGGGGAAGUCAGGCUGCUACCAGAACAUAAUUCCCAAGUUAAGGAAGUUGGGGAAAAUCUGUGAAUAUUCAUAAAACCUCCAGAACUAUUUCUGGUAGCACAUCUGUUGGCCCAACUGCCAUCCUGAGCUGAGCCCAGACUGGAACAUACAGAGUUAACUAGGGGCCCUUCUGGGGUCUUCUACCCCAUCUCCCCCCAGGAUCUCAGCCCCUGUGAUGUCACUAAGAGUUGCCAUAGCAACCACUGGAAGUUCCCAAAUAAAAUUACUGUGUCGGGUUAAGUUUCCUUGGAGCUAGGCAGCAGUAAACAAUGGCAGGCGAGGCUAGUCUGGCCAGGCUGGGGGGCCCAGGAGGGGGCCCUGAUCCAACUUCAGCCCCUUCUUCCAACCAGUGAGGAACUACACUGCUAAGGCAUUGGGCAUUGAUUGACAGAGACAGAGGUGGAAACAGAGACAGAGAAAGAGGACCAUAGGAACAGAGCUGGGGAAGAGACAGGAACAGAUAUUCCCACAUGACCAGCUCUCCAGCCCCUCAACUGUCCUGGCUACCCUCCUCUAGACUCACUCCAGCUUUUCCACGGUGGACAACUGGUAAAUCAGAUUUGGAGGCAGAGGAGCACAGUCCAAAUCCCAGCUUUGAUUCUUACCACAUUUCUAAAGUUGGUCAGUCAUUUUCUUUUUCCCAUUUAUAAAGAAGGGGAUUGGCCUAAAUGAUUUCCUUCUUUCCUUUUUUUAACUUUACCUUCUGUCUUACAAUUGAUCCUGAGUAUAAUUAAGGUAAGGCCAGGGAAUGGGUGUUAAGUGACUUGCCUGGGGUCAUACAGCAAGGAAGUGUCUGAGGUCACAUUUGAACUCAAGACCUCCCAUCUCCCUACCUUCUUCUUUACCCACUGAGCCAUCUAGCUGCUCCUGGACCCGAUAAUUUCUAAUGGCCAAUUCAGCUUCAAAAUCAUGAUCACAUAUUUCUAAAACUGAGAGAGCCAUAAGAAUCCAUCCCAUGGACAUUAAUGCAUUGCUGGUGGAGUUGUGAAUUGAUCCAACCACUCUGGAUGGCAAUUUGAAACUAUGCCCAAAUGGCGCCAAAGGACUACCUGCCCUUCGACCCAGCCAUAGCACUGCUGGAUUUGUACCCCAAAGAGAUAAUAAGGGUAAAAGACUUGUACAAGAAUAUUCAUAGCUGCACUCUUUGUGGUGGCAAAUAAUUGGAAAAUGAGGGGAUGCUUUUCGAUUGGGGAAUGGCUGAACAAAUUGUUGUAUAUGUUGGUGAUGGAAUACUAUUGUGCUAAAAGGAAUAAUGAACUGGAGGAAUUCCAUGUGAACUGGAACAACCUCCAGGAAGUGAUGUAGAGUGAAAGAAGCAGAACCAGGAGAACAUUGUACACAGAGACUGAUACAUUGUGGUACAAUCGAAGGUGAUGGACUUCUCUACCAGCAGCAAUGCAAUGAUCCAGGACAAUUCAGAGGAACUUAUGAGAAAGAUGCUAUCCACAUCCAGAGGAAGAACUGUGGGAGCAGAAACACAGAAGAAAAACAACUGCUUGAUCACAUGGGUUGAUGGGGAUAUGGUUGGGGAUGUAGACUCUAAAUGAUCAUCCUAGUGCAAUUAUCAAUAAUGUGGAAAUAGGUCUUGAUCAAGGACACAUGUAAAAUCCAGUGGGAUUGCUCAUUGACUAUGGGAGGGGGGAGGGAAAGAACAUGAAUCAUGUAACCAUGGAAAAAUAUUCUAAAUUAAUUAAAUAAAAAUUUUCAAUUAAAAAAAAA